rnacentral:lncRNA from 1 species
UAAAGAUCGUUUUGGGCUUAAAGAAACGUUCGGGUUUAAUUGGGCCCAUUGGGCCUAAACCCAUUGGGCCUAAACCCAUUGGGCUUUUAUUCAAGCAUUGGAUGACUUGAAAUAAAUGAAAGCCCAAAGCCUAAACAACACAAAGAGGGCCGGCCAUAUUAUGUGGGGAAGGAGAGAUAUUUAGUCAAGUGUUGACUAGGUUUCUUUUGUCUAUAUAAGGAACUUUAUAGUGAUAAAGUUCAUAAGGGUUUUUUGAAGUGUUUAAACAACAAAGAGGCAAAAGAAAAAAGCUCUCUAACACAUCAAAGGGCCGGCCACCAUUGGGGUGUUUUAGCUAACAAUCUUUCACCCUUU